AAUAUUGGACAAUGGGGGCAACCCUGAUCCAGCCAUGCCGCGUGUGUGAAGAAGGUCUUCGGAUUGUAAAGCACUUUAAGUUGGGAGGAAGGGCUUUAGGUUAAUACCCAAGAUGCUUGGACGUUACUCGCAGAAUAAGCACCGGCUAACUCUGUGCCAGCAGCCGCGGUAAUACAGAGGGUGCAAGCGUUAAUCGGAAUUACUGGGCGUAAAGCGCGCGUAGGUGGUUCAGUAAGAUGGGUGUGAAAUCCCCGGGCUUAACCUGGGGACUGCUUUCAUAACUGCUGAGCUAGAGUACGGUAGAGGGUAGUGGAAUUUCCUGUGUAGCGGUGAAAUGUGUAGAUAUAGGAAGGAACACCAGUGGCGAAGGCGACUACCUGGACUGAUACUGACACUGAGGUGCGAAAGCGUGGGGAGCAAAC
rnacentral:rRNA from 1 species